GCCUGGCUGGUUCAGUCGGUGAAGCAAAAGACUCCUAAUCUUAGGGUUGUAGGUUCAAACCCCACAUUGGGUG
rnacentral:tRNA from 1 species